rnacentral:lncRNA from 1 species
AAUUAUUUACUGACAAAGUACUUUAAAAGUUCAUCUAAUAUAAUAUGAGUCCGGCUAGAAGACUGUUUCACUAAUCAAAGAUGGAAGUCCCAUGCUGAUACUGUGAGAAUUGUUGUUUUGUACUUUACUUUGUAGAUAUUUCUAUUUGAUUUUAAAGAUCAAAGUUACAAAAUUGUCGUACUUUGAUUGAGUAGAGAGUUCUGUAGCUAUACAUUUUGAUAUAUUUAAUGUGACAUUUAAAGCUUGUUCAAAAAAUAAGAUAAAUUUUGUAUAUUAUGGACAUGACUAAUUUCCUUUGGUGUUGUAGAUUUGAAUUUACGAGUGUUGUCUAACAUUUAUUUUCUACACUACUAUUUAGGAGAUGAAGAUGAGCGUGCUUAUUUUUGAAGAGAUCUUACAAACCGUGCUGAAGACGAGUAGAGUCAUUCCAGAUAGCCUUUCAUGAGUUAAUAAAGUUUGGGUGUGGAUGGUGAGAAGAUUGACAUAAUAAAGCAUGGUAUAUGUAUUGCUGAGAGUUAGCAAGGAGGCGACUAUGAAAAAAUAUGAUUCUCUGCCUGACUUUGAAUUUGUCUCUAUGUGAGAAUCUGCUAUUGUUGCCAUCAGAUGAGAAUUAUGCGAAAAAAUAAAUGUAAAUGACCAGACACCUGAUUUGAAGUUAAAUUCUGAGAAGUUGGCAA